rnacentral:rRNA from 1 species
UACAGAGGUGGCAAGCGUUGUUCGGAAUUACUGGGCGUAAAGGGCGCGUAGGCGGCCUUCUAAGUCAGACGUGAAAUCCCCCGGCUUAACCUGGGAAACUGCGUCUGAUACUGGGGGGCUUGAGUAUGGGAGAGGGGAUGUAGAAUUCCAGGUGUGAGCGGUGAAAUGCGUAGAUAUCUGGAGGAAUACCGGUGGCGAAGGCGGCAUCCUGGACCAUAACUGACGCUGAGGCGCGAAAGCUAGGGGAGCAAACGGG